UCCACUUUGUGUGUAGAGAAAAACACCGUCUGGGACAUUGAGUUACUCAAUGCCACUCAAUGCGCAAUGGAAAAAGCAAAAUCAUCCCUUAAUUACCAAAGAUGACUCGAAAUUGGAUAAAAGAUCCUCAAAUCACGACCAUUUUCAGGCAGAAAACAACUGAAGAAAGCCAUACCCAAGCACGGAAGCAGUACAAGACAAAGGAACUAGGAGAAAAAUGAGAAGAUAAAAGGAAAAAGAAAAGUUUAUGGAAGGACACCCACAAGAAAAACAAUGCAUCACAAAGAAUGAAAACUAUGAUCAAAAUUUGGCACAAAGUUACUCAAUGUAACGAAUCUGUGGAGACAAAUGUAGAGACCCCGGGGCUCAAGUGAGGGCAAGAUGAUGCAAGGAGCUGAAAUUUACAAAAAAACCCCAAAAAACAAAAA